AACGAACGCUGGCGGCAUGCCUAACACAUGCAAGUCGAACGAGACCUUCGGGUCUAGUGGCGCACGGGUGCGUAACGCGUGGGAACCUGCCCUUAGGUUCGGAAUAACUCCCCGAAAGGGGUGCUAAUACCGGAUAAUGUCUUCGGACCAAAGAUUUAUCGCCUUUGGAUGGGCCCGCGUUGGAUUAGCUAGUUGGUAGGGUAAAAGCCUACCAAGGCGACGAUCCAUAGCUGGUCUGAGAGGAUGAUCAGCCACACUGGGACUGAGACACGGCCCAGACUCCUACGGGAGGCAGCAGUGGGGAAUAUUGGACAAUGGGCGAGAGCCUGAUCCAGCAAUGCCGCGUGAGUGAUGAAGGCCUGAGGGUUGUAAAGCGCUUUUACCCGGGAUGAUAAUGACAGGACCGGAAGAAUAAGCUCCGGCUAACUCCGUG
rnacentral:rRNA from 1 species